rnacentral:sRNA from 1 species
GUUACCGCCUCCGAUACUGGGAACAGGAAGGAGGUGUCCAUAUGGAAACAAUCACAUCUCUGAUUAUCGCAGUCGCGGCAGGCGUGAUUAGCCAUCUCGUUUGCAAAUGGCUGGACAGCGAUAAGUAGUCGGUAACCAGCCUAUGGUCUAAGCCGCCAUACUCAAAUGGAAUAGAAAACCCCGGAGCAGCAUCUCCGGGGUUUUCGUUUGUCAGU